GCGGCGGUGGCUAGAAAUUGAUGGAAACGGUGGGGAAAAACGCACGAACUGGACUCUAACAAGACCCAACCAGCAAUAAGACCUCGACCAGGACACAAACUCAACAAUGUGGACUCUGAAACUGAAAUAUGCAAAGGCUAUGGCGCGGAAGGGUUGUAGGACAGGAAAACGAUAUGGCACUAGACUUAUAGGACGAACUCAAGAACACUCGAAACUAAGGGUACAUGUGAACCUAACGAUAUACCUGAAGCUUUGAUUACCACUUGAUGAGAACAAUGGUGGUCUGAUCUUCCGAAAGGUUGUGGUAACUCUCGAUCUGGUGGACACAAGACACAAAUCGAUCCGGCUUCCGAACAACAUGAUCCGAAACCUUGCAAUUUUUUUAUUUUUUUUGAUAUUUUUCUUUUACUUAGGAGCACUAAAGAAGUAACCACAAAAAAUUUGAGCUUAAACAAGUGAAAGACGUGGCUUGUGGAAUUUUCUGAAGAUUGAGAAAAAUGUGAAAAAAACUUCACAAGGUGAAAACUCAAAGGUCGGAGGCAAAUUUGGAGAUUCCAAAAAUUUCAAACCCACCAAAGGCAUGGAGAGACAGAUCCAAAGUUUUUUUCUAAUCAAUUUUGAUAUAUGGAACGUUGAAAUCGGAGUUCGUAUGCGAAAGUUAUGGCUAUUUUACGAACGGACUCCAAAUUAGUGGACAAAACGGUCUGAAAGUGGGAAACAUUUGCGGCGGUGGCUAGAAAUUGAUGGAAACGGUGGGGAAAAACGCACGAACUGGACUCUAACAAGACCCAACCAGAAAUAAGACCUCGACCAGGACACAAACUCAGCACUGUGGACUCUGAAACUGAAAUAUGCAAAGGCUAUGGCGCGGAAGGGUUGUAGGACAGGAAAACGAUAUGGCACUAGACUUAUGGGACGAACACAAGAACACUCGAAACUAAGGGUAGAUGUGAACCUAACGAUAUACCUGAAGCUUUGAUUACCACUUGAUGAGAACAAUGGUGGUCUGAUCUUCUGAAAGGUUGUGGUAACUCUCGAUCUGGUGGAGACAAGACACAAAUCAAUCCGGCUUCCGAACAACAUGAUCCGAAACCUUGCAAUUUUAUUAUUUUUUUUGAUAUUUUUCUUUUACUUAGGAGCACUAAAGAAGUAACCAUAGAAAAAUUGAGCUUAAACAAGUGAAAGACGUGGCUUGCGGAAUUUUCUGAAGAUUGAGAAAAAUGUGAAAAAAAACUUCACAAGGUGAAAACUCAAAGGUCGGAGGCAAAUAUGGAGAUUCCAAAAUUUUCAAACCCACCAAAGGCAUGGAGAGACAGAUCCAAAGUUUUUUUCUAAUCAAUUUUGAUAUAUGGAACGUUGAAAUCAAAGUUCGGAUGUGAAAGUUAUGGCUGUUUUACGAACGGACUCCAAAUUAGAGGACAAAACGGUCCGAAAGUAGGAAAAAUUUGCGACAAUGGCUAGAAAUUGAUGGAAACGGUGGGAAAAAACAUAUGAACUGGACUCUAACAAGACCUAACCAACAAUAAGGCCUCGACCAGGACACAACUCAACAUUGUGGACUCUGAAACUGAAAUAUGCCAAGGCUAUGGCGCAGAAGGGUAGUAGGAUAGGAAAACGAUAUGGCAGUGGACUUAUGGGACGAACACAAGAACACUCGAAACUAAGGGUAGAUGUCAACCUAAUGGUAUACCUAAAGCUUUGAUUAUCACUUGAUGAGAACAAGGGAGGCCCAAUCUUCUGAAAGGUUCAGGUAACUCUCGAUUUGGUGGUGACGAGACACAAAUCGAUUCGGCUUCCAAACAACAUGAUCCGAAACCCUACAAUUUUUUUUAUUUUUUGAUAUUUUUCUUUUACUUCGCAGCACUAAAGAAGUAAGCACAGAAAAUUUAUGCUUAAACAUGUGAAAGACGUGGCCUGCAGAAUUUUCUGAAGAUUGCAAAAAAUGUGAAAAAAAACUUCACGAGUUGAAAACUCAAAGGUCGGAGGCAAAUUUGGAGAUUCUAAAAUUUUCAAACGCACGAAAGGCAUGGAGAGACAGAUCUGAAGUUUUUUUCUGAUCGAUUUUGCUAUAUGGAACGUUGAAAUCGGAGUUCGUAUGCGAAAGUUAUGGCUGUUUUACGAACAGACUCCAAAUUAGUGGACAAAACGGUCCGAAAGUGGGAAACAUUUGCGGCGGUGGCUAGAAAUUGAUGGAAACGGUGGGGAAAAACGCACGAACUGGACUCUAACAAGACCCAACCAGCAAUAAGACCUCGACCAGGACACAAACUCAACACUGUGGACUCUGAAACUGAAAUAUGCAAAGGCUAUGGCGCGGAAGGGUUGUAGGACAGGAAAACGAUAUGGCACUAGACUUAUAGGACGAACUCAAGAACACUCGAAACUAAGGGUACAUGUGAACCUAACGAUAUACCUGAAGCUUUGAUUACCACUUGAUGAGAACAAUGGUGGUCUGAUCUUCCGAAAGGUUGUGGUAACUCUCGAUCUGGUGGACACAAGACACAAAUCGAUCCGGCUUCCGAACAACAUGAUCCGAAACCUUGCAAUUUUUUUAUUUUUUUUGAUAUUUUUCUUUUACUUAGGAGCACUAAAGAAGUAACCACGAAAAAUUUGAGCUUAAACAAGUGAAAGACGUGGCUUGUGGAAUUUUCUGAAGAUUGAGAAAAAUGUGAAAAAAACUUCACAAGGUGAAAACUCAAAGGUCGGAGGCAAAUUUGGAGAUUCCAAAAAUUUCAAACCCACCAAAGGCAUGGAGAGACAGAUCCAAAGUUUUUUUCUAAUCAAUUUUGAUAUAUGGAACGUUGAAAUCGAAGUUCGGAUGUGAAAGUUAUGGCUGUUUUACGAACGGACUCCAAAUUAGAGGACAAAACGGUCCGAAAGUAGGAAAAAUUUGCGGCAAUGGCUAGAAAUUGAUGGAAACGGUGAGGAAAAACAUAUGAACUGGACUCUAACAAGACCUAACCAACAAUAAGGCCUCGACCAGGACACAACUCAACAUUGUGGACUCUGAAACUGAAAUAUGCCAAGGCUAUGGCGCAGAAGGGUUGUAGGAUAGGAAAACGAUAUGGCACUGGACUUAUGGAACGAACACAAGAACACUCGAAACUAAGGGUAGAUGUCAACCUAAUGGUAUACCUGAAGCUUUGAUUACCACUUGAUGAGAACAAGGGAGGCCCAAUCUUCUGAAAGGUUCAGGUAACUCUCGAUUUGGUGGUGACGAGACACAAAUCGAUUCGGCUUCCAAACAACACGAUCCGAAACCCUACAAUUUUUUUAUUUUUUGAUAUUUUUCUUUUACUUCGGAGCAAUAAAGAAGUAAGCACAAAAAAAUUUAUGCUUAAACAAGUGAAAGACGUGGCCUGCAGAAUUUUCUGAAGAUUGCGAAAAAUGUGAAAAAAACUUCACAAGGUGAAAACUCAAAGGUCGGAGGCAAAUAUGGAGAUUCCAAAAUUUUCAAACCCACCAAAGGCAUGGAGAGACAGAUCCAAAAUUUUUUUCUAAUCAAUUUUGAUAUAUGGAACGUUGAAAUCAAAGUUCGGAUGUGAAAGUUCUGGCUG
rnacentral:lncRNA from 1 species